GUGGCCGGCCAUGUGGUGUUUUAGAGUGGUGUGAACCCAAAUUUUAUAAAAUUUAAAUGUCAUUUAAUUAAGAGGUCAAGUGGGCAAGUGGGUAGAAAAGCACUCAAGUACCUUGUGAUAUUUUGAAGAGUAUUGUGAGCAAUUCCCACACUAAGAACCGAUCACUCUCCAUCUCUCAUUCACUAUCAUCUUUUUUGAAGACCUCUCAAAGUGUUCUCUCCAUUUUUCAAGCCCAAGAACACCAAGGAAACUUUGAGGCUAAGUCUUGGUCUAGGAAGUAUUUUCCCUAAGUUUGUUAGGGUUUUUGAAAGGUUUUGAAGGAGUCAAAGCUUAUAGGAAGGUCCAAACCUUAAGCAAGAACACCAAAGAGUAUUGGCUAAGCGUAACUGGACUGAACGUUGGAGGGUGAAAACUUGCUGAGCGCUAAGGACUCCAAGUAAGAACAAGGGCAGGGCAGAGCAGUGAGCGCUGGAGUCUUCCUUGCAAAUGUACAAGUGGACCGACCUUUUGGGAAGCCUUUUUAUUUUUGGAAAUGUUGUGUAAUUUUCCUAAACUAGGCUCACUCUAAUCUUUAUAAAACAUGUUUGUAACUAAAUGUUAAGUAUGACCAUACGACUUUUUAAAAAGUUUUUUUUUCUAUGGGUUUUUGAGACAUUUUGUUAAAUGAAAACAUUUAUAUUUCCGCAUUA